GCUCAAACUUUCCUUUCUCUAGAUUUUAGCCGGAAAUACCUUGAAGUUCUGGAUUGGUGAGUUAAUUCUCCCUGGUUUACAACUUUCUGGCGUCUGAUAAAGGGCUGAGCAAUUUUAGGGGGCAGAUUUUUGAAGACUUUGAAAGGAGAACAUUGCUUUUGUUUGGAUAUUUUCUCCAUACCAAUAUAAACUUCAGCCCAGCUUGAGAUUCCAGAUACACAGGAGCAGAAGGAUUAUAAAUUGAUGGCCAUCAUCAGCAACUCAAUAAGACUCAUUCAUAGAAUAUUUUUUUAAAAGACAUCUGUGACUUAGUUCAGUGAUAGGGUACUUUUCAAUCUUUGGGUUCAGUUCCCACGCAGAGGGGAAGGGGUGUUUGAAGAUGGGAAAACUACUAUGAGCAUGCUCCAGUGACACAUCUGAAGAUUUCCCCCAAAGUGCCAACUUUUGUAAGGUUUCUUGGAGAGAGGAUAUGUUUUAUGUUGCCCAGACUGGUCUUCAGCUCUUCCGACAGCCCCACUUCCAAGUCUCUGUAGUGUCAGGAGCACAUGACUGCAACAGCCUCUUUCUACCUUUAAAGAAUGAAAAUUAAAUUUUUGUUUGAUGUUUAAAAUGUCAAAUUAAAAAAAAAAAGUUUGAGAGAGAGAUGUGUGAUUAGGGAUAUCAUGGCUUUGCUCAAGCUGAUCUAGGUGCCCAGAAGACAUCCUGUCAAGGUUGAUUUUGUGGGUUUUGCUUUCUCAACAAUUGGUUCUUGUCCCUGUUCAUAAGCCAGUGCUUUCAUUCUUGAAUUUGCUUGAGUUAUCCUCCCCUCCAGAGACAGAGACAAAGAACAACAGCUCUGAUUGUUCAUUACAUUUUACUUGGGUCUUUCUCAUCAGCUUUCUCUUCCCUUCUGAUAACUUUUGGUUUAGUUAUUUUUUGUCUACUUGCCUGAGGCCAAGUAUUAAGUUAUUUACUUGAGAUAAUGUUUCUUUGUGUAAUGUAGUCCUGGCAGGCUUCCCUCUUAGACUAUCUAGACUGCUGAAUUUGCUGAGACGUGUGCUCCCCUCUUAGACUGUCUGGAGCAUAGAGUGGAAUGCUGAGGUGUGUCCAUCCAUUAUCAUUUCAUUUUUCAAAAACCUCCCUUUGAUUUCUUCUUUGCUCAUUGGUUUAGAGAAUGGUGUAUAAUUUCCAUAUUUGUGAAAUUUUUUCCAAAUCUCUCUUUUGGUGAUUUCUAAUUUCAUACCAUUGUGGUUACAAAAGAUGUUUCAUAUCAUUUCAUUCUUGAUACAUUAUUAAAACCUCUUUUGUGGCCCUUCAGAUGAUCCUUCCAGAACAAUGCUCUCCAUGCGUAUGCCGCUGUCUUUGGGAGUGUCCUGUGGCAGUUCAAGAUCAGUUCCUUAAUGACAUCCUCUCUGCUUUCUUUUCUGCUUCAUCUUCUUUUUUUUUUUUUUAAGAUUUAUUUAUUUAUUAUAUUUACAUAUACUGUAGCUAUCUUCAGACACUCCAGAAGAGGGCAUCAGAUCUUGUUACAGAUGGUUGUGAGCCACCAUGUGGUUGCUGGGAUUUGAACUCCGGACCUUCGGAAGAGCAGUCGGGUGCUCUUACCCACUGAGCCAUCUCACCAGCCCCUGCUUCAUCUUCUUGUGGAACACUCAUAAGAAGUAUACUGAUUUUCUAAAUAAUGCCCCAUAAAUCAUCAUCUUUGUUCUUGUCAUGACCUCUGUCUUUGACAUGACACUGUAAGAGUGAUGGUAUUCAUUUAUUUAUCUUUUUAUUUUUAAAAACGUUUUAAAUUCUUUUAUUAUAUUUUUCCCCUUCCCCAACUACUUAUUACUCACCCAAUUUCAUGCCUACUCUCUUAAAAUUUAAAAAUCAGGUUUCUCCAAUGAUGUGUUGCUGGGUAUAUCAAUGACCCUCCAAGACAAGCCCCAUGCCCAGGAGUAGUUGGUCAACACAAAUGGAUUCCAUGUUUGAUUGUUUCUUUGUAGCGUAUAUUAGGGUAUUUGUUUUUGUCUUACUGUUUGUUUUUGUUGUUGUUGGUUAGUUGAUUGGGUUUGUAUGAUUCUUUUUUGUUUGUUUGUUUGGUUGGUUGGUUGGUUUUUCUGGUUUUUGAAGACAGGGUUUCUGCGUGUAGCCCUGGUGUCCUGGAACUCACUUUGUAGACCAGGCUGGCCUGGAACUCAGAAAUCCACCUGCCUCUGCCUCCCAAGUGCUGGGAUGAAAGGUGUGCACCACCACCGGCCAGCUUGUAUGAUUCUUUUAAGUGGGCUGAUUUCAAGUUGAUAGACUUUUUGCUUGAUCAUGUCUCCUAAUUGAUUGAAUCUCUGUAUUGCAGGAUCAGUUUCACUCAUUUGAGCUAUUAAGCUCCAGAAUGUCAGUGUUCUUUCCUAUUGCAUUAUUGAUUUUUGUGAUUUUUUUCUCAUUAAUUCUUAUUUUGGAAUACAAUCAAUGAUUUCUAUUCUUUGGAGUCAGUUACUAGAGUAUGAUAAUAAUCUAUUGAUAAAAUGAUGUUUCUCGCUUGUGUGUGUGUAUGUGUGUGUGUGUGUGUGUGUGUGUGUGUGUGUGUGUGUGUGUGUGUUUGUCCCUGUGUUAAUGCUUGCAUCAUUAUGGAACAACUAUCUCCUUUAAACUUUUCAAGGUAGAUUCUAUAUGCAAGGACUUAUAUAUUGGCAUUUGUAAACUGCUCAGUGAGUUCCUCACCACCAAGCUUCUGAUAGAUGGAGAUUACCACAAAACAUGACCUGAGACCCUCACACACACCAUAGCAACUCAGGUCCAAGGAGAAGGAAUGUAGUAGCUACGUAUGGCCCUGACUCUGUAGCAGGGCAGGGCAGAGCACCAUCAUAUGUUCAGGAAUGAAAAAGAGCUCUAUAUAAAUGACAAGUGAACUGAAAAGGAAGUCAGGGAAACAAAACCCUUCAUAAUAGCCUCAAAUAAUAUAAAAUAACUUGGGAUAAUUCUAACCAAGUAAGUGAAAGACUUGUAUGAUAAAAACUUCAAGUCUUUGAAGAAUCUGAAAAGGGUAUCACAAGAUGGAAAGAUCUUCCAUCCUUAGGGAUUUGUAGGAUGAACUAGUAAACAUUGUCAUCCUAGCAAAAGGAAUCUACAGAUUCAACUCAGUCCUCAUCAAAAUGCCAAUGCAAUUCUUUACAGGCUUUGAAAGGACAAUUUUCAACUUUAUAUGGAAAAAAAAGAAAAAAAAAAGACCCAGAAUAGCUAAAACAAUGCUAUACAAUAAAAGAACUGCUGGAAGUAUCACCAUCUCUGAUUUCAAGUUGUAUUAUAGACCUAUAGAAAUUUAAAAAGAAAUACAUUGCCGGGUGGUAGUGGUGAACGCCGUUAGUCUCAGCACUUGGGAGGCAGAGGCAGGCGGAUUUCUGAGUUCGAGGCCAGCCUGAUCUACAAAGUGAGUUUCAGGACAGCCAGCAGGGCUAUACAGAGAAACCCUGUCUUGAAAAACC
rnacentral:lncRNA from 1 species